UCUGCCACAGCGAAGAUGAAAGGAAACCCGCAGCUAAUGGCUCGGCAGUGAUGCGCCAGAUGGCCUUAAGUUUUCCACAGCCUGGCUUCAUCUUGAGAUGGCUAUUCGUACAAGAAGUCGCUUUCCCGUUUGCCUGGACCUCGCCUGCACUCCAGUCCCUGCCUAGGGGCAGUGGUACCUGUCUCCAAAAGUGGAUGGCGUUUGAGGUAGAAGAGAGUGAAGUCGCUGAAAAUGCCCUAAAACAGCAAGUAAGUAGGGACUCUGAUGAAGGGCUGGAGGUGGGGGCAGGGGUUGUGGAACUUAAUAUCUGGAAGCUGCCAUAGGCCUCUCUUGGCUCCUCUCCCAGGGAAGAAGCUGGUAUAAAACUCCUUCAAACUGACCCUUUUUGAGCUCCAAGCAAGUGUGCUGGGGCCAGGUGGGUGGGCUGAGUCUAUCCCCACAUUGCUGAGAGCAGGAGGUGGGCACCUUCUAUGCUCAACCCCCCUUUCUCCGCCUCCUCCCGAAGAGCUUCUAGCCCUAGGCAGCCAGCUGCAAAGGGCAGCCCAGCACCUCCCUCCUUUCUGUGUCCCUAGCAAAGCCCCAGCUUUUACAGGUAAGUCCUCUUCCGUGACCUUUUUAUCUGUUAUCUCCUACUUUUCUCUCCUCCUUUUUCUCUUUCUGUAUUCUUCUCCUUCUUUGCUUCUCUCCUCCAUCUUCCUAUCCAUAGGGUUAAGGAAGGUAGAGGAAGUAAGGGGUCCAAAGAAAGACAAAGUUUCCUCUUCACUCCGGCUUUCCACUUCUCUUUCAGUCUAAGACGAUGUUCAUUAAUCUUGCCUGGGGGCGGAGGCAGCGGGAUCCGGAAGGUAGUGUCCACAUAGAUAUUUCUACUCCUUGGGACUCCUGAAGCCACUAUAUGCUGAGCACUGCUAGCCCCAAAAUCCAGGGAAAUGUUUUAGAGGUGAGAGGAUCAAUUGGGAGUGAGGGGAGUCAAAUCCUAGAACCUUUUCCUGCCUUGGAGAGCUGUCCAGGUAUUCUAUCUUUCUCUGUCCUCCCUACCAGCAGCCACAGCCUGAGGGAGCACCUGGCUUGCUCUCUUUCCUGUCAAUGGCAAGCCCCCUGGGCAUCUGUCUUAGAGCUUCCAAGGUUGCCUACUCUCUAUAGGGCCCUCCAGCACUGGGCCUUUGAGGUGCCCACCCUCCUUUCCUCCUUGAGCGCUUAACCUUCUCGUGAGUAGCCUGCUGCCCCCAUCUCCUGGGGGCUGGGUCCUCAGAGGGACUCCUGGCUCCCCACCCCGCCCCCAGCUCUGCAUUCAAUGGGAAUCCUCUGUUUGAUCCGCUUUUCUUCUGGGUGAGAUGAAAGCCGAGUAGGAGUGAGAGAUCAAGGAGUGCCACUUAGUCUGCUUCCUGGGUCGGGCCCUACGGAGCAGGGCUUACAUCCCGCGGAGAGGGCUGGAUGGAGCUGAGGACCGGCUUUUCAGAGGGAGGUUGCCUCCCUUGGGCUCCAGAUCUGAAGCUUCAGGGACACAUCCCCUCAGCCCAAAGCCUUCCCCAGCCCUCUCCCGACUUCUGCCCCGCUCUUUCAAAGCUGACUGGCCAGUCUUAGGAGCCUAGGGAACCACACCCACCCCCGCCCCUUUCCACCGGCGCAUUAGGGGGAAAACGUUUUAACCAAAUGUCACUUCUUCCAAAAGCAUCCUUUCAUCAACCUCACAUUAAGAGCGGUUGGGUUUUUAAAGGAAAGAAGACAAAAAAAGAGAGGACUGGAUAAGAACACUGUUUUGGUUUUUUGGGCGGUGAAUGUGGGGGGAGUAUUUAAUAACAUCGUUAUCACUGUGUCGUGAAGGUUAUUCGCGGCACGGCUCGAGAAGGAAGGUAAAUUCCGAGAGCAAGUGAAGCCCUGCACAACCCCAUUAAGCCUGGGCAAUCCCAUGACAGCGGAGAGGGGGUGAUAGCAGCUGAGGUGGAGGCCGCUCCAGGCCCGGCGGCUUCUCAUUUCUCGCGGCGGGGGACACCCAUCCCCCACCUGCCACACGGCAGGCCCCCCGUCCCUUCCCCCGCUGGGGCGACGGGCUCCGGUCCAGCCGGCUCCUCUCGGAUUGAAAUUCUCCGGACUUCAAAAGCUCCCAGCUUGGCUUCCGCCGGGGCUGGGCUGGCCUGGCCCGGGCCGGAGGGGGGUGGGUGGGAACCCCGGGGAGGCGACGGAGAUAAGAUGCGCGGGUCGUUUUAAAUGGAAUCGGAAGCCGGGCAUAGGCCCCCAGACGCGCGGGUCAGCUGGAACAGCUUCGCUCCUGAAGAAAACCGGGCUCGGAAAAGCGGCGCGUGUGGGGCCUGCCUCCGCAGUCUGCCCGCCCGGCUCGGGGGAGAUGGCCCGCGGCCCCGAUCACCCUCCCCAGCCUGCAGCGGGCCUUUCAACGGCGACAGGGCCCCGAGAAGGGAGAGAGCGAGGAGUCCUGAGCCGGGGGCCAGGAGCUGGCUUGUCGGCUCAGGUGUCGGUGAAAAUGUGAUCAGGAAAAAAAUGUUUUCGCUUCUCUUUGGUUAAAAAGUAAGAACAAAGGGAGCUUCCUUCUAAACAAUAAGCGUGGUCUGGCUGUCGUGAAUAUUAGUCUUGGGCCCUCCGUCAUCUUCCAGGCCGUGGUGGGGGCGCCAGACUGCUGGGUCCUCGCGGUGGGGACAGCCGGAGGUGGGUGGUUCUGGGACCCGCUUCCCCCUUCUGCCUUGGCAGCUGCUGAUGCCCUUUUGGGAACCUAGUGCCACUGCUGGGUGCACCCCUGGGGAAUAAGGUCGAGUGGAUCUCACACUUGCAGGUAGAUGAGGGUUGACCACUCCUGUCACCUCCUUGCACUGCAGUGGAAUCUGCUGAGAAAGUCGGUGGCAGCUGUGUAACUGUGGCAGGCACCGUGGAACACUUUCUCCUUCAGACAGGGGGAAACUGCGGCUUCUGGAACUCUGAUUUUGAAGAGUGCCCCCUCCUCUCCACCCUCCUGGAAUGGAGGGCCAGGUCCUGGGAGGCAGCUGACCCUGCUGCACUCCUGCCUGUACACCUGUCUGCCUGGGCUCCUUAAGGCCAGCCUGGUAGCUUCCUGGCCCUGUGCUAAGGAUGUCUGGUCCACAUCCCCAUUC
rnacentral:lncRNA from 1 species